UUGUGUAACUCGUGAAGACCAAAGAGGAAGCUGAAAGCACUGUGAAAAGCAUUUCUCUGAACUCUGAUGGUAAUCUUUGGCCUGCAAAUAUUGUAUGUGAUUCCACAGAAAUGAAUGCCAGCUGGAGAAACACAGACAUGGUACAAUGCCCAACCAGCCAUGCAGCAACCUGUCCAAUUUAUAGCAGUGCUUGGCAAUUUAAGAUUUUCCUUCAGGUGCUGACAGUAAAAGAAAAGCCACAUGACUGAUUACAGCCUGCACUCUCU